rnacentral:lncRNA from 1 species
CACACACCUCUGUGGGGGAGUUCGAGGCUCCUGUGCGCGGCUGGUAAAGAGGAUCUUCUCGAGAUUCUGGCGUAAUGCCAUUGCGCCAAAUACUGCUCAGCCAGAGAAGAAGAAGAAGACGAGAAUAAUGCCAACCAGGAGGAACACCAUGGCCAGAGACAGGAUGACAGUGAUCACCACCAUUGCUCCACUGCGUGCCCGAAGACCAGUGUCAAUCUGCUGGUAAUCAUUGACUGAAAAAAAAAGACUAAUUAAAUUACAAUCAUAGGCCUAUAUUACAAGACACUUUUAUAAUCUUUUUUAUUAAUGCAAAGCCCUUACCAUUGGUAGUUGUAUUAGUCAAAACUGAGCUUGUGUCAUUUCCAAUUUUAUAAGACAUGCUGAAGGAGAAUAACAUUUGAGUUUAUUGGUUAAUCUUCAAGUAACUGCUCUGAUAUAAUGAGACAAACAGAUAUAAACAGAUAUAACUCUCAUAUGGGCUUUUAUACUAAUGUUUUUUAAAUAGUGGAUCCCUAUAAAGCCUCCAUAGAAGCUAGUUUCAAUCUAUUUUUAAGCUUUAAAAUUGUGAGAAAAAUAAAUGCCAGAAACAACUACACUCACAGUUCUGACUUUUGCCUAAUAUAAAUUUAUAUCUAUAUCUAUCUAUAGAGUUUGUCAUAUUAAUAUUUUUUAAAACAGAGAAUCAAAAUUGCAACAAAACAUUUGUUGCCAGAAAGUUUAUGAAAGCCCACAUCAUUUUCUAAAAACAACGAUACACAUAAAAAUGCCAAAUUAAAUUAAAA